UACGGAGGAUGCGAGCGUUAUCCGGAUUUAUUGGGUUUAAAGGGUGCGUAGGCGGACUGUUAAGUCAGCGGUAAAAGCCCGGGGCUCAACCCCGGCGAGCCGUUGAAACUGGCUGUCUUGAGAUGUCGAGAGGUAUGCGGAAUGCGCAGUGUAGCGGUGAAAUGCUUAGAUAUUGCGCAGAACUCCGAUUGCGAAGGCAGCUUACUAAGCCAUAACUGACACUGAAGCACGAAAGCGUGGGGAUCAAACAGG
rnacentral:rRNA from 1 species